AUUUUUUGAAGUUGUAAAUAAUAAUUAUAGGAGUGUGUUUUAUAAGAUAAUCAAUGUAAAAAUGAUUUCUAGAAGAGAUUUCUAUGUUUUUACAAGAAAAUAGAUUAUAAAAAUGUUUUUUGAAGUUGUAAAUAAGUAAAUUGGAAUGUUUUAGAAGAAAAUAUACUUUUUUUAAAGUUCUAAAUAAAGAUUUAUAUGAAUAUAAAUAUAAAUAAAUAUGAGUGUGUUUUACAAGAAAAUACACUAAAAACUGGUAAGAAAAACCAAUUGUUGGAUAUAUUUCUACGUAAAAUAUUUCUACGUUUCUGGUCUUUCAACUUCAGAAUUACUUAAAAGUUAAACUCAAUGUGUUAAAUGCUGUUUCUUUAUAAUAAAGUGGCUAGCAAUUUCCCAUGUGAAAAUUGUUUAUAUGCCAAUUUUUUUCCCCAGUGUAAUAUGCGUCUAAGCCAGUGGCACUAACAAACAGCAGCUAAAUGUUUGUGAGAAUCCGAAUGCAGUUUUGCUCGCUUCGUAAAUUGUUACGGACAGAAAACACGAUGGCCUCUUGCAGCGCUCUGAUGUCUGUGUAAAGAAAGAGAAAAGUAAGUGAGCAAGUGAUGAGGUGAAAUGUUUCAAUUUCCAGAGCUUGCAGUAAUUUGCAGUGAGUUUACCUGUUCUCCAGCAGAGCCUUGGGAGCCCUGCUGCUUAAAGGCAUGUUUGUCUUCCCUCAGCUCGGGUGAGUAUCAGAUUUUGUGGCAGAACCAUCACAGAGAGAAACCCAUGGCCACGUCCUCCUCCAAGAGCAAAUAUUUCUGCAGAUGUGCGAUGUGUCAUUUAAAUAGAAGGCUCUAAAGGGUUGCAGGUAAACAGAGUGUCAAUCAUCGGGAUUAGUUCACACAGAAACGCUCGGCUCCUCUUUGUUGCACGCUUUGGGGGAAACUCUGCAGCGAUGUCAUCCACUGUGUCUGUGGCAGAUUUCAAAAGCUGCAAUAUCACGAUUGUGGAUGUAAACAAUUUACAGACACGUUUGUGGUGCAGCUCAAUACGUCCAUCACAUGUCUGCUUAUGGGAGUAAUUCAAUGAAAAAUUUUAAAUCUGUCAGCCUUGUGUGAUUCCAAUCCUGGAUAUUGUUAUUUUUCUUUACAUUUAGGAUAUUUUAAAUAAAUUAUAAUAAAUAAUAAAAACCCUAUAAAGACAAUAAAAGGUAAACAGAGUGUCAAUCAUCGGGAUUAGUUCACACAGAAACGCUCGGCUCCUCUUUGUUGCACGCUUUGGGGGAAACUCUGCAGCGAUGUCAUCCACUGUGUCUGUGGCAGAUUUCAAAAGCUGCAAUAUCACGAUUGUGGAUGUAAACAAUUUACAGACACGUUUGUGGUGCAGCUCAAUACGUCCAUCACAUGUCUGCUUAUGGGAGUAAUUCAAUGAAAAAUUUUAAAUCUGUCAGCCUUGUGUGAUUCCAAUCCUG
rnacentral:lncRNA from 1 species